AAGCUCGUAGUUGAAUUUCGGGGUUAGUAGGUUGGUCAUGCCUCCGGUAUGUACCGAUCUCACUGAUUCCUCCUUCCUUAUGAACCGUAAUGCCAUUAAUUUGGUGUUGCGGGGAAUUUGGACUGUUACUUUGAAAAAAUUAGAGUGUUUAAAGCAGGCUAACGCUUGAAUACAUUAGCAUGGAAUAAUGAAAUAGGACGUUCGAUCUUAUUUUGUUGGUUUCUAGGAUUGACGUAAUGAUUAAUAGGGAUAGUUGGGGGCAUUAGUAUUCAAUUGUCAGAGGUGAAAUUCUUGGAUUUAUUGAAGACUAACUACUGCGAAAGCAUUUGCCAAGGAUGUUUUCAUUAAUCAAGAACGAAAGUUAGGGGAUCGAAGACGAUCAGAUUCCGUCGUAGUCUUAACCAUAAACUAUGCCGACUAGGGAUCGGAUGAUGUUAAUUUUUUAAUGACUCAUUCGGCGCCUUACGGGAAACCAAAGUGUUUGGGUUCCGGGGGGAGUAUGGUCGCAAGGCUGAAACUUAAAGGAAUUGACGGAAGGGCACCACCAGGGGUGGAGCCUGCGGCUUAAUUUGACUCAACACGGGGAAACUCACCAGGUCCAGACAUAGUAAGGAUUGACAGAUUGAGAGCUCUUUCUUGAUUCUAUGGGUG
rnacentral:rRNA from 1 species